rnacentral:rRNA from 2 species
AGAGUUUGAUCCUGGCUCAGAUUGAACGCUGGCGGCAGGCUUAACACAUGCAAGUCGAGCGGAGAGAGGUAGCUUGCUACUGAUCUUAGCGGCGGACGGGUGAGUAAUGCUUAGGAAUCUGCCUAUUAGUGGGGGACAACAUUUCGAAAGGAAUGCUAAUACCGCAUACGUCCUACGGGAGAAAGCAGGGGAUCUUCGGACCUUGCGCUAAUAGAUGAGCCUAAGUCGGAUUAGCUAGUUGGUGGGGUAAAGGCCUACCAAGGCGACGAUCUGUAGCGGGUCUGAGAGGAUGAUCCGCCACACUGGGACUGAGACACGGCCCAGACUCCUACGGGAGGCAGCAGUGGGGAAUAUUGGACAAUGGGCGCAAGCCUGAUCCAGCCAUGCCGCGUGUGUGAAGAAGGCCUUAUGGUUGUAAAGCACUUUAAGCGAGGAGGAGGCUACUUUAGAUAAUACCUAGAGAUAGUGGACGUUACUCGCAGAAUAAGCACCGGCUAACUCUGUGCCAGCAGCCGCGGUAAUACAGAGGGUGCAAGCGUUAAUCGGAUUUACUGGGCGUAAAGCGCGCGUAGGCGGCUAAUUAAGUCAAAUGUGAAAUCCCCGAGCUUAACUUGGGAAUUGCAUUCGAUACUGGUUAGCUAGAGUGUGGGAGAGGAUGGUAGAAUUCCAGGUGUAGCGGUGAAAUGCGUAGAGAUCUGGAGGAAUACCGAUGGCGAAGGCAGCCAUCUGGCCUAACACUGACGCUGAGGUGCGAAAGCAUGGGGAGCAAACAGGAUUAGAUACCCUGGUAGUCCAUGCCGUAAACGAUGUCUACUAGCCGUUGGGGCCUUUGAGGCUUUAGUGGCGCAGCUAACGCGAUAAGUAGACCGCCUGGGGAGUACGGUCGCAAGACUAAAACUCAAAUGAAUUGACGGGGGCCCGCACAAGCGGUGGAGCAUGUGGUUUAAUUCGAUGCAACGCGAAGAACCUUACCUGGCCUUGACAUAGUAAGAACUUUCCAGAGAUGGAUUGGUGCCUUCGGGAACUUACAUACAGGUGCUGCAUGGCUGUCGUCAGCUCGUGUCGUGAGAUGUUGGGUUAAGUCCCGCAACGAGCGCAACCCUUUUCCUUAUUUGCCAGCGAGUAAUGUCGGGAACUUUAAGGAUACUGCCAGUGACAAACUGGAGGAAGGCGGGGACGACGUCAAGUCAUCAUGGCCCUUACGGCCAGGGCUACACACGUGCUACAAUGGUCGGUACAAAGGGUUGCUACCUAGCGAUAGGAUGCUAAUCUCAAAAAGCCGAUCGUAGUCCGGAUUGGAGUCUGCAACUCGACUCCAUGAAGUCGGAAUCGCUAGUAAUCGCGGAUCAGAAUGCCGCGGUGAAUACGUUCCCGGGCCUUGUACACACCGCCCGUCACACCAUGGGAGUUUGUUGCACCAGUAGUAGCUAGCCUAACUGCAAAGGGGGCGGUUACCACGGUGUG